rnacentral:lncRNA from 1 species
UGAAUAGAUGAGCUUUUAUAUAGAUGAACUAUUAUCUUAGGCACAGUCUGGGAAUAAAAGUUAUUUAUAUAAUGUGCCAGUGAAAUUAUGCCAUCCAUAGGAUGUGCUGCUCCUGCUUCUGUAUCUGCCAUAUUGAUUUUUAUCAUCAUAUAGCAGACUAUGUAAAGCCUAUUAUGAAUUCAACAAUAUUAUAUAUUAAGGUUCAUAUUUUUGAUUUUUUGAUACUUGAAAAAGAAUUUGGAAAAUCCAGGAACUUUUUAAAUCAAGAACUACAUAUAUAUGAAUAUUGCAGAUAUUGUUAUGCCUGUUGGGAACCAACCCCAAAUAGAAAAGGAAGAUAUUGAAGAAAUUAUCAAAUGCACCAGUUAUAGCACAGUAUUGUCCUGCAUUGAUCCUUUGUUAAAGUAUAUGAAUCAAUAGGAAUUUGACUACAAUGUAUAAUACUAUAUGGAAAUUCAUUCAAAAAUUGGACAAAAUCUUGAAAAUUUUCAAAAUAAAAAUCACAAAUUGUUAAAUUAAUUGUUAUCAUAU